GGUUGAUCCUGCCAGUAGUCAUAUGCUUGUCUAAAAGACUUAAGCCAUGCAAGUGUAAGUAUAAGUAACUCGUACUUACGAGACUGCGAACGGCUCAUUAUAUCAGUUAUAGUUUAUUUGAUAAUCUUCUUUACUACUUGGAUAACCGUAGUAAAUCUAGGGCUAAUACAUGCGAAAAAGCGCGACUUUUUAGGAAGCGCUGUAUUUAUUAGAUUACAAAAUCAAUGCACUCCUCUGGAGUGGUCUCUUUGAUGAUCCAUAAUAACUUUGCGAAUCGCACGGCCUUGAGCUGGCGAUAUUUCAUUCAAAUUUCUGCCCUAUCAACUUUCGUCGGUAGUGUAGUGGACUACCGAGGUUUUUACGGGUAACGGAGAAUUAGGGUUCGAUUCCGGAGAGGGAGCCUGAGAAACGGCUACCACUUUCAAGGAAGGCAGCAGGCGCGCAAAUUACCCAAUCGCAACACGCGGAGGUAGUGACAAGAAAUAACGAUACGGGUCCAGAUUCUGGUCUUGUAAUCGGAAUGAGUACAAUUUAAAAUACUUAACGAGUAGCCAUUGGAGGGCAAGUCUGGUGCCAGCAGCCGCGGUAACUCCAGCUCCAAUAGCGUAUAUUAAAGUUGUUGCAGUUAAAAAGCUCGUAGUUGGAUCUUGGAGAAGUUGUGAGUGUUUGGUCCGCCUGAACGGCGAGUACUGGCGCUCUGUCUCUAUAGUUGGCGGUAACAUACAGGCGGUGCUUGAAUGCGCCGUGUGUUUGGGGAGCGGAGCGAUCCGUGCAACCGAGGGGUGGAGUGCGUGUGCGCUUGGACGGGUUAAUGCUCGGCUUGGUUCGUGCGUGCUUCAGUCAAUGUUCCGCCUUUUUUACUUUGAAAAAAUUAGAGUGUUUAAAGCAGGCCGAGUGUGGCCAUUGAAUACAUUAGCAUGGGAUAAUAGAACAGGACGUUGAGUUUUGUUUUGUUGGUUUUGAUGAGCUUACGUAAUGAUUAAAAGGGAUAGUUGGGGUUCUUUGUAUUGCGUAGUCAGAGGUGAAAUUCUUAGAUUUACGGAAGACAAACUACUGCGAAAGCAUUGAACCAGGAUGUUUUCAUUAAUCAAGAACGAAAGUUAGGGGAUCGAAGACGAUCAGAUACCGUCGUAGUCCUAACCAUAAACGAUGCGGACCAAGUAUUGGAGAACGUUAUGUUUUUUGAAGGCUCCUCCAGCACUUUGCGAGAAAUCACAAGUCUUUGCGUUCCGGGGGGAGUAUGGUCGCAAGGCUGAAACUUAAAGGAAUUGACGGAAGGGCACCACAAGGGGUGGAGCCUGCGGCUUAAUUUGACGCAACACGGGGAAACUCACCAGGCUCGGACAGCAGUAGGAUUGACAGAUUGAAAGCUCUUUCAUGAUUUGUUGGGUGGUGGUGCAUGGCCGUUCUUAGUUGGUGGAGUGAUUUGUCUGGUUGAUUCCGUUAACGAACGAGACUACCGCUUACUAAAUAGUUACUGGAAGAUAUUGCGU
rnacentral:rRNA from 1 species